rnacentral:rRNA from 1 species
GAUGAACGCUGGCGGCGUGCCUAAUACAUGCAAGUCGAGCGAAUGGAUUAAGAGCUUGCUCUUAUGAAGUUAGCGGCGGACGGGUGAGUAACACGUGGGUAACCUGCCCAUAAGACUGGGAUAACUCCGGGAAACCGGGGCUAAUACCGGAUAACAUUUUGAACCGCAUGGUUCGAAAUUGAAAGGCGGCUUCGGCUGUCACUUAUGGAUGGACCCGCGUCGCAUUAGCUAGUUGGUGAGGUAACGGCUCACCAAGGCAACGAUGCGUAGCCGACCUGAGAGGGUGAUCGGCCACACUGGGACUGAGACACGGCCCAGAGUCCUACGGGAGGCAGCAGGAGGGAAUCUUCCGCAAUGGACGAAAGUCUGACGGAGCAACGCCGCGUGAGUGAUGAAGGCUUUCGGGUCGUAAAACUCUGUUGUUAGGGAAGAACAAGUGCUAGUUGAAUAAGCUGGCACCUUGACGGUACCUAACCAGAAAGCCCCGGCUAACUACGUGCCAGCAGCCGCCGUAA